CCACCCCCUACUUCAAUCCAUGAUCACUUACAGCUAACAGCCUGACCAUCUGAUCAGCAUUUCCAUUGAUGUAAAAUGUAAGCAUUCAUUCAUUUUGUAGUUACCACCAACGUAUUUUCCCAGCUUAACCCAUGUUCUUGUGUUAAUAUUUCCUUGUGAAAAUAUAAGCCACACGGAUAUAUUUUCAUAAGGUCAAUAGAAAUACAGUAAGAUUUUAAGUUAGGCAGAAUCAACUAUAAAAUAGUAAGAGUGAACCUAGAAGCAUCACAAAAGAUAAUCAGUUCACCGAUGGCAUGUUGUAUGUACUGACAGCCACCGGGUCACAUUCUUUGGAGCUUAAACACAGUGCUGUCUUUUGAGUAAGUAAAAUUAGAGGAUAAAAGGACCUCUGUUAAACCCAGAAAAGGAUUUAGUUUCGUUAAUUCAGUUUCCACCCGCUACACUUCUUCCCUGGAAGAGAACUACCCAUCAACACCCCAAAGCAGGAUUAUCCCAGAGGCAUUUUCUCUUUAACCAUCCUCAAUUAUAGCAUACUUAGGAAAUGUAUCACUGUGAAAUAAAUCAAGCUGCAUCGUAUUACUUUAGUUGUUUUAAGAAAAAACCUCUAUAAAAUAACCCAACUUUAAGCAGUCCUCUUUCCCCACACACAACCUAAGCAUUUAUCUGUCAUAGAACUGCAUGAUUACAAAGCUUUAUUUCUGUAUACAGAUGCUAUUUGUUAAUGAUGGAAACCAAAUUAUUUUGUUGCUGUGUCUUUUGUCUCUAGCAGUUGAGAGAAUUAUUAUGACUAGUAUAUCAUUGGAUUUGAGGGUUGCCAUUGUCAAAAUCAAUUUUCUUGUAUUACUGUAGUUGCAUUAAUUAUUAGAAAAUGAACCAUUCGUUACAUGCACCAAAAUUACAAUAAUUUAAAUAAGACUUUUAAAAGAUGCUCCUAAAUAUAUUCUUUUGUAAGAUGCUAACUAUGCAUUCAUAUAACAGCAGUCCGGUAUAAUGUAGAAAAUGGAAGCACAUAUUUUGGACAGAAAAAUGCCAAUUUACAUACAAUAUAAAAUUAUUAACCCUGUGCAACAAUUAUAGAUUUAAAUAAUGGUCAUAAUAUUUAAUAAGUAUAGACUGUUCCCAUAAUAUUUUGCCUCCAAAAUGCAGUAGCUCAUUUCCUCAACUGCUAUCAGUAGGUCAGAUGCUUUGAUUUUCUUGUUUUUGUUUUUCCAAGUUAUAGUGCUAUACUGCUUGUUUGUGUUUAGAAGUGUGCAUUAUGCGAUUCAUUUUAGUAUGCUAUUUCCAUGUUGUUUAUUUUUUGUUCUUUUAAUAAAACGUGUAAAUUUC
rnacentral:lncRNA from 1 species